rnacentral:piRNA from 1 species
UGUGUCUUAAGUCCUGCAACUGCUCUAGUC